UUAUUAAAAAAAAAAAAAAAAAAAAAAAAAAAAAAAAAAAAAAAAAAAGGGGGGGGGGGGGGGAACCGCUCUUCCGAUCUGGUAACUCCCUGGUGGAGCAAGUACCAAACUACUGGCUCCAAGGACUGAAUAAAGAACGGGGUGGGGGUGGCUACUUUCUCAAAGCUGCUUAUACAGAAUUCCUACAUGAAGUGAUGUCUAUUCAGACACUGUUUGUGGAUGUAUGUAUAAAUUGUGUUUUUGGCAGCGUAAGCAUUCAGAAAGGUGUACACUUUUUCAGCUUAGGUCUGAGGCUCAGACUUGUUUAAUUAUGGUAAAUUUUACCUUUUGAUACAGCAAAAAUGCUACCGAAAGUCUCCUAAUGAUACCAAAAUUAAUCUGCUCAAGUUUUUUAUUCUAUAGGAGCAUUUAUCAACAAGUCAUGCAUUUAUACACCUCUGAAAUAAAAUAUUAAAAGUACUGUUUGUUCUACCAAGUAGAAAACAUCUAUAAAAUCUGUGCACAAUGUUUGUCUUCAGAAUUACUAGAUUUAGUUGCUUAUUACUUUCUCGCUUCAUGUAUUUAAGGAAGAAAAAAAAAAAGAAGUGUUCCUUAGGAGAACGUAGUCAAUGUAUAAAAAGAGAGAAAGGUAGACAAUAAAAAAAAAAAAAUUUAGACGAUUUCUUAAGCAGUUUGAUGCAUUCAUGCCAAACAUGUCAGGCACUUCCCUCCUCCCCCCACCUCCUGCAAAACAAAUUUUAAAAUGGUGUAAAUACACACCUGUUUUUAGAACUUAAGAAAAUCUGUUUAAAGUGGAUUCCAAAAUGCAAAAUGUAUGCUGUUGGAAAUCAGAAUAGUGUCUUUCUGAACUUUCAGGAAAUUAAAAUACUCUGCUCUCAGCAGCUUCGCUGUCCGGUCUAAUAUUCAGGACUCCUGAUUCUGUCUUCUCCCCACAACACUCCCCUCCCAAAAGGAACAAUCUUCCAGUGCUAAUUAGUGACCAGCUUUUAGAGAAAAGAAUCCCAACUUUAUGCAUUUUCCUUCGAGGCUUAAUAUCUCUACCAAUAAUGUACUCACAUCUGUCAUGUUUGUCAAUACAUAGUGCUAAAAUUAAAUUAGGCAGAAAAUAGCUGUUUUAGAGAAUUGCCCUGUCAUCGGCCUUUCUCAUCUCUGAUGCGUAUUCAGAGGCCCUUGAUUCCAGCUAUGGCAGAAGAAAGAAAGCUAAAUUUUCCAUUCUCCCAGGAAAAACAUGCUUUCAUGUGAAGUUCCCCUUUGCUUAGGUAGUAUGUCUGAAAAGAAGUCUUUAUGAUUAGCGGUAGCUGGCUGUCUGGACACAGCCUUUAGCUAAAACGUGUACGGGUUAUUAAACAGACCUCGGACACGGAAGACUGUAGCAGGGAUGAAGGGCACUGGCUGUUGUUCAGGCGUGCUGAACCCUGUUGGAUCCUCUGGGCAGGACUGAGUGGUCAGGGAACGGCAGUAAAACCAGCAAAUUGCGCUGGAAGAAAAAAACCAGCUAGCACAGAGGGGAUUGUUUUUUUUUUUCUUUUCUGUUAGUGAAAGUGAAAAAAUAAGCAAGCAAGCAAGGCAGGCAGCGCGGCGGCUGCGCUCGGGCGCGGAGCGAGGGGCGCGGGCAGCGGCUCAGCACCGCGGACAGCGCCUGGCCCGGCGCCGGGAGCCCGGGGGGGGGGGGGGGGGGGGGGGGGGGGG
ensembl:lncRNA